UCCAGACUCCUACGGGAGGCAGCAGUGGGGAAUAUUGCACAAUGGGGGAAACCCUGAUGCAGCGACGCCGCGUGAGCGAUGAAGUAUUUCGGUAUGUAAAGCUCUAUCAGCAGGGAAGAAAAUGACGGUACCUGACUAAGAAGCCCCGGCUAACUACGUGCCAGCAGCCGCGGUCAUACGUAGGAUCCGAGCAUUAUCCGGAGUGACUGGGUGUAAAGAGUUGCGUAGGUGGCAUAAUAAGUAGCUAGUGAAAUCUGGUGGCUCAACCAUUCAGACUAUUAGCUAAACUGUUAAGCUCGAGACCGUUAGGGGUAACUGGAAUUUCUAGUGUAGGAGUGAAAUCCGUAGAUAUCUGGAGGAACAUCAGUGGCGAAGGCGACUAUCUGGCACAUAACUGACGCUGAGGAGCGAAAGCGUGGGUAGCAAACAGGAUUAGAUACCCCAGUA
rnacentral:rRNA from 1 species